GCCAGUAUAGUUCAGUUGGUCAGAACACAACGCUCAUGUCGAUGUAACACAGGUUCAACCCCUGUUACUGGCC